GCGUUCCGUACGGAACGCCAAAUUACCCCCUAAAAUUUCAGCACCUCGGCUAGGGCCAUUUAUUUUAUUUCGCAGAAAAUAAUCACCAUCCACCAACGCCAUCUAGCGGCCACGAUACGCACCUUUAUGACAUCCCCACUGGAGGAGGAGCUGAAUAACUAUCGAUCUCUACAACCAUUUCCAACAAUUAAUAUCGAUUUUAUCGUGCCAGUGCAGAUACAGCUGAAUGUCUCUGUGAUAAUAAAUUUGUUUUUGUUUUCUAAACGUUCAUCAAUUACUGGUUUUCAAUACUGUUUAUCUCGCUUGUUGCAAUAACAUACCAGUUUAUGUCGCCGUUGAAAUGGGCGACGCUGUCUGGAGUGUUGCUUUAAUUUGGUCGAUUAAAACCACAUUAAGUGUCCUCAGCGUCGCAGAUUCACUCCGGGUAGUGCCGGGCAAAUCUCUGUGAAUGAUGAUCUCCAAACCGAUCACGAUUUGAUGGCCCUACUUCUCCAAACAAAAACAAAUUUAUUAUCACAGAGUCAUUCACCUGUAUCUGCCACUGGCACGAUAAAAUUGAUAUUAAUUGUU